GCGCGGAUCGCGACCUCGUGCUUCGAUGAAAUAAAAUGAUGUGUAUAAGGUUAGUUGAGAUUAGUGUACAGAUGAAAUGUACCGAACGAAAAUGUGGUUUAAGUUAUAGGAAUUGCGUUUUACCGCCUUUUCCAUGCCUUCAACUAGCUAUCAAGGUUGCCUCUAAGAGAAUCCAGGGGGUCUUAGGUGACUAGCAUUUUCUGCCUUAAAUGCUUCUUUCUGAUGUUGAGCACUGGCCGAUUGAUUGCAUUUUUAUUGAGAAAUCGACGAAUUGAAUGCCUGAAGGUUGUGGCCGAAGUACUUACAGCACGCAUUUAAUGAUAUCUUGCAUUUAAUCACGGAACAUUUAAUGAAGUUUGUUGUGUGCUUGGUGCCGUUCCUUGGGGAGGCAGCACCCGAGGAAAAUUCCGCUGGGGGACCGGUGGAUGUUUGAGCUGUUGUACCUAUUGCUUCAAUUGUUUUUAA